UACAGAGGUCCCAAGCGUUGUUCGGAUUCACUGGGCGUAAAGGGUGCGUAGGCGGUCGGGUAAGUCUGACGUGAAAUCUUCAAGCUCAACUUGGAAACUGCGUCGGAUACUAUUCGGCUCGAGGAAUGGAGGGGAGACUGGAAUUCUCGGUGUAGCAGUGAAAUGCGUAGAUAUCGAGAGGAACACCAGUGGCGAAGGCGAGUCUCUGGACAUUUCCUGACGCUGAGGCACGGAAAGCCAGGGGAGCAAACGGG
rnacentral:rRNA from 1 species